UUGGAGGGCAAGUCUGGUGCCAGCAGCCGCGGUAAUUCCAGCUCCAAUAGCGUAUAUUAAAGUUGUUGCAGUUAAAAAGCUCGUAGUUGAAUUUCGGGGUUAGUAGGUUGGUCAUGCCUCUGGUAUGUACUGGUCUCACUGAUUCCUCCUUCCUGAUGAACCGUAAUGCCAUUAAUUUGGUGUUGCGGGGAAUUUGGACUGUUACUUUGAAAAAAUUAGAGUGUUUAAAGCAAGCUAACGCUUGAAUACAUUAGCAUGGAAUAAUGAAAUAGGACGUUCGAUCCUAUUUUGUUGGUUUCUAGGAUUGACGUAAUGAUUAAUAGGGAUAGUUGGGGGCAUUAGUAUUCAAUUGUCAGAGGUGAAAUUCUUGGAUUUAUUGAAGACUAACUACUGCGAAAGCAUUUGCCAAGGAUGUUUUCAUUAAUCAAGAACGAAAGUUAGGGGAUCGAAGACGAUCAGAUACCGUCGUAGUCUUAACCAUAAACUAUGCCGACUAGGGAUCGGAUGAUGUUAAUUUUUUAAUGACUCAUUCGGCGCCUUACGGGAAACCAAAGUGUUUGGGUUC
rnacentral:rRNA from 2 species